ACGGAGGGUGCAAGCGUUAAUCGGAAUUACUGGGCGUAAAGCGCACGCAGGCGGUUGGAUAAGUUAGAUGUGAAAGCCCCGGGCUCAACCUGGGAAUUGCAUUUAAAACUGUCCGGCUAGAGUCUUGUAGAGGGGGGUAGAAUUCCAGGUGUAGCGGUGAAAUGCGUAGAGAUCUGGAGGAAUACCGGUGGCGAAGGCGGCCCCCUGGACAAAGACUGACGCUCAGGUGCGAAAGCGUGGGGAGCAAACAGGA
rnacentral:rRNA from 1 species